CACCGGUUAGGAUGAACAUAUCAAGGAUACUUCCAGGGGACUCCACUGGGGAGAAAAAAGGGUACUUUCGUCGGGUUUCGGGCAAGAAGUAACAAACUGCAAACUAAGAAGAAUAUUACCAGUCACUGGGUAAUAGACUCUUAGGGGACCAAAAUAUCUAUCUAGGUAAGAGCUAGAAAGAAAACAGUUAAUCAAGACUCAACCCAAUGAGGACAUAACUCAAGGGGAGUAAUU
rnacentral:lncRNA from 1 species